GAUGAACGCUGGCGGCGUGCCUAAUACAUGCAAGUCGAGCGAACGGACGAGAAGUUUGCUUCUCUGAUGUUAGCGGCGGACGGGUGAGUAACACGUGGAUAACCUACCUAUAAGACUGGGAUAACUUCGGGAAACCGGAGCUAAUACCGGAUAAUAUUUUGAACCGCAUGGUUCAAAAGUGAAAGACGGUCUUGCUGUUACUUAUAGAUGGAUCCGCGCUGCAUUAGCUAGUUGGUAAGGUAACGGCUUACCAAGGCAACGAUGCAUAGCCGACCUGAGAGGGUGAUCGGCCACACUGGAACUGAGACACGGUCCAGACUCCUACGGGAGGCAGCAGUAGGGAAUCUUCCGCAAUGGGCGAAAGCCUGACGGAGCAACGCCGCGUGAGUGAUGAAGGUCUUCGGAUCGUAAAACUCUGUUAUUAGGGAAGAACAUAUGUGUAAGUAACUGUGCACAUCUUGACGGUACCUAAUCAGAAAGCCACGGCUAACUACGUG
rnacentral:rRNA from 1 species